GGUCCCAUAGCUCAGUUGGUCAGAGCACCUGACUCAUAAUCAGGGAGUCCUUGGUUCAAGCACAAGUGGGACCA
rnacentral:tRNA from 1 species